AAUUACUUUGAUCUAGCACUAAUGCACAUGAUCCAAUUAGAACUCCGCAACAGUUAAGUGUGCUUGAGCUAGAGUAGUACUAAGAUGAGUGACCUCUUGGGAAGUCAAAUAUUGUUGUUU
rfam:Lupinus angustifolius cultivar Tanjil contig_13088, whole genome shotgun sequence.